GAUGGUUUGGGGUCAGCAUGGUAGUGGGAUGGUUUGGGGUCAGCAUGGUGGUGGUAGUGGGAUGGUUUGGGGUCAGGCAUGGUGGUGGUAGUGGGAUGGUUUGGGGUCAGGCAUGGUGGUGGUAGUGGGAUGGUUUGGGGUCAGCAUGGUGGUGGUAGUGGGAUGGUUUGGGGUCAGCAUGGUAGUGGGAUGGUUUGGGGUCAGCAUGGUGGUGGUAGUGGGAUGGUUUGGGGUCAGGCAUGGUGGUGGUAGUGGGAUGGUUUGGGGUCAGCAUGGUGGUGGUAGUGGGAUGGAUUGGGGUCAGCAUGGUAGUGGGAUUGUUUGGCGUCAGGCAUGGUGGUGGUAGUGGGAUGGUUUGGGGUCAGCAUGGUGGUGGUACUGGCAUGGUUUGGGGUCAGGCAUGGUGGUGGUGGUGGGAUUGUUUGGCGUCAGGCAUGGUGGAGGUACUGGCAUGGUUUGGGGUCAGCAUGGUGGUGGGAUGGUUUGGGGUCAGGCAUGGUGGUGGUAGUGGGAUGGUUUGGGGUCAGGCAUGGUGGAGGUAGUGGGAUGGUUUGUGGUGAGCAUGGUAGUGGGAUGGUUUGGGGUCAGCAUGGUGGAGGUAGUGGGAUGGUUUGAGGUCAGCAUGGUGGUGGUAGUGGGAUGGUUUGGGGUCAGCAUGGUGGUGGUAGUGGGGUGGUUUGAGGUCAGCAUGGUGGUGGGAUGGUUUGGGGUCAGCAUGGUAGUGGGACGGUUUGGGGUCAGCAUGGUAGUGGGACGGUUUGGGGUCAGCAUGGUAGUGGGAUGGUUUGGGGAUGCUUGCCUUAAUAGAAGGAACUCUCUCUCUCUCCAUCCUUCUGUCUCCAUUCCUCCCUCCUAUUUCUCCAUCUCCGUAUCUCUCCCUUCCUCUCUCCCUCCAUCUCCUGAGAGAGAAGCAUUAGCCUCCGGUCAAAGAAGAGAAGAUCAAACGAUGUUGUUUGUAUGUUGUGGCAUCCCCG
ensembl:lncRNA